GGCCUCGUGGCCCAAUGGCAAGGCGUCUGACUACGAGACAGAGUCAAUCAAUCCACGAUUGACUGACUCUUCACGAUAAUCAGGAGAUUCUGGGUUCGACCCCCAGCGAGGUCA